GGGGAUCACUGAGCUCUAUCCACACCCGUAACGUUGCAGGUCGUUUGUAACAGGCCUUCCUCUAUACACAGCCUUAGAAUAAAGCAGAAUCCAGUGACUGCCAGACUGUGUGGGGUGAAGGCUGGGGACACCAUUAGGUGGCAGGUCCUUUGAGUUCAACCCUUGUUUUUAACCUUGGUAGAGAGGGGGUUGGGUGAGGGGUUUGCUCUUUUAGAAAGGGGCUAUGUUAAAAAUAAGCAAAUCCAUCUGAAGUCUGUUAUUUGUACAAGGAGAGCAUGUGUAGG